UUAACACAUGCAAGUCGAACGAGAAUCUACUGAAGGAGGAUUCGUCCAACGGAAGUAGAGGAAAGUGGCGGACGGGUGAGUAACGCGUGAGGAACCUGCCUUGAAGAGGGGGACAACAGUUGGAAACGACUGCUAAUACCGCAUGAUGCAUAGGGGUCGCAUGAUCUUUAUGCCAAAGAUUUAUCGCUUCAAGAUGGCCUCGCGUCUGAUUAGCUGGUUGGCGGGGUAACGGCCCACCAAGGCGACGAUCAGUAGCCGGACUGAGAGGUUGAACGGCCACAUUGGGACUGAGAUACGGCCCAGACUCCUACGGGAGGCAGCAGUGGGGAAUAUUGGGCAAUGGGCGCAAGCCUGACCCAGCAACGCCGCGUGAAGGAAGGAGGCUUUCGGGUUGUAAACUUCUUUUAAGAGGGAAGAGCAGAAGACGGUACCUCUAGAAUAAGCCACGGCUAACUACGUGCCAGCAGCCGCGGUAAUACGUAGGUGGCAAGCGUUGUCCGGAUUUACUGGGUGUAAAGGGCGUGCAGCCGGGUCUGCAAGUCAGAUGUGAAAUCCAUGGGCUCAACCCAUGAACUGCAUUUGAAACUGUAGAUCUUGAGUGUCGGAGGGGCAAUCGGAAUUCCUAGUGUAGCGGUGAAAUGCGUAGAUAUUAGGAGGAACACCAGUGGCGAAGGCGGAUUGCUGGACGAUAACUGACGGUGAGGCGCGAAAGUGUGGGGAGCAAACAGGAUUAGAUACCCUGGUAGUCCACACUGUAAACGAUGAAUACUAGGUGUGCGGGGACUGACCCCCUGCGUGCCGCAGUAAACACAAUAAGUAUUCC
rnacentral:rRNA from 1 species